UACGUAGGGUGCGAGCGUUAAUCGGAAUUACUGGGCGUAAAGCGUGCGCAGGCGGUUUUGUAAGCCAGAUGUGAAAUCCCCGGGCUUAACCUGGGAAUGGCAUUUGGGACUGCAAGGCUUGAGUGCGGCAGAGGAGACUGGAAUUCCUGGUGUAGCAGUGAAAUGCGUAGAGAUCGGAAAGAACACCAACGGCGAAAGCACUCUGCUGGGCCGACACUGACACUGAGAGACGAAAGCUAGGGGAGCGAAUGGG
rnacentral:rRNA from 1 species